rnacentral:misc_RNA from 1 species
AUCUUUCUUGAUUUUUUCAGCCUGUUCCACCUCUGCCCACAGAGCUGAAUGGAACCCCACCGCCUGUGCCAAAAAAAUACACUUCUAAACAAGCAUCUCUGACAUGACUCUCCCCUACUCUCAGAACUUUUCUGUAUUAUACAUAUCUGCUGUUGCAUGGAUGGAGCUAUGAACUGGUAUACAAACUAACCAUUAUCAUCUUUACAGUCUGCAUAUAAACCAACUUGCCUAUUUUCUUUGGAAAGCAGUUUACAUAAAGAAACCUUUUCUGGAAUCGGUUGUAAGCGAGAGAAAGAGAGUGUGUGUGGAGAGAGAGAGAGAAGGAGAGAGAGAGAGAGAGAGAGAACACAGCUGUUGAGUCAUUAUAUAUAUGAUAUAUGAAGCAUGUUUUAUUAUGUAUAUUGUACAUUGGAUGGGUGACAUCCUGUCUAUUAUCAUGUUUUCAUAUUUAUUGUACAGUUUUAUUAAAAGUACCAUUCAUGUUGAUGGUAUAUAACAAAUUUUAGUUAUUGUAUAUUUUUCAAGCUACUUAAUGUAUUAUUACAUUAAUAAUGUUAUUAUACAUAUAUAAAUUGUUUCUAUUUCU